rnacentral:rRNA from 1 species
CACGUAGGGCGCGAGCGUUGUCCGGAAUUAUUGGGCGUAAAGAGCUCGUAGGCGGCCUGUUGCGUCCGCUGUGAAAGCCCGGGGCUUAACCCCGGGUCGGCAGUGGAUACGGGCAGGCUAGAGGUAGGUAGGGGAGAAUGGAAUUCCUGGUGUAGCGGUGAAAUGCGCAGAUAUCAGGAGGAACACCGGUGGCGAAGGCGGGUCUCUGGGCAGUAACUGACGCUGAGAAGCGAAAGCGUGGGUAGCGAACAGG